rnacentral:rRNA from 1 species
UACGUAGGGGGCGAGCGUUGUCCGGAGUUACUGGGCGUAAAGCGCACGCAGGCGGUCUGCUAAGUUUGGAGUGACAGUUGGUGGCUUAACUGCCAAAGUGCUUCGAAAACUGACAGACUUGAGGGCUUCAGAGGGACACGGAAUUCCGGGUGGAGUGGUGAAAUGCGUAGAUAUCCGGAGGAACACCAAAGGCGAAGGCAGUGUCCUGGGGAGUACCUGACGCUCAGGUGCGAAAGCCAGGGGAGCGAACGGG